rnacentral:rRNA from 1 species
UACGGAGGGUGCGAGCGUUAUCCGGAUUUACUGGGUUUAAAGGGUGUGUAGGCGGGCUGGUAAGUCAGGGGUGAAAUCCCGGAGCUCAACUCCGGAACUGCCUUUGAUACUACUGGUCUUGAAUAUUGUUGAGGUAGGCGGAAUGUGUCAUGUAGCGGUGAAAUGCAUAGAUAUGACACAGAACACCGAUUGCGAAGGCAGCUUACUGGGCAAUUAUUGACGCUGAGGCACGAAAGCGUGGGGAUCAAACAGG